ACAGAGGCGCGGAUUCGUUUGUUCCUGUUGUGGCUUCCCCUAGCGGUGCCGCGGUUGCUGUGUCUUCCUCCAGGCUACCGGCCUGCGGGCACAGGCAGCACCUCCGUCAGCUCCUGAGGAAGAAACCCUUGAGCUGAGGAAGGAGUGAUAGUGAAGCGCGUCGCCUGAGCCUCUCUACCUUGGACGCGAACCGCACUGACCCACAAAAGGAUUCCUGUCUGGUUACAGAGAAGUGACUUUGUUAAAGGAGUGAAGGGCUUUAUAACUGCGUUAACGUAUAACCCAAGAACUGACAUGACGCUUGAGGACAUCUUUACUUGAAGAUGUAGCAACAUCUCCGGGCGCUCCGAAAAAAAAGAUGCCGUGGUCACCUUUAUUGCUGAAGGCCGAUGCUGACUUGAAGAGUAGUCUGGAACAAGGUUCAUAUAUCUAUCCAUCCAGUAGUCACAACCUGGGCAUGGAGAGCACCUCUGAGACUGGCUUUGGAAACAGGAACAGAUUUUAUUUAUUAUGUAUACAACAUUCUGCUUCCAUGUAUAUCUGCACACCAGAAGAGGG